CCGCCGGCGACCGGCGCACGGGUGAGUAACACGUAUGCAACCUGGCCGUGACAGAUGGAUAACCGGGAGAAAUCCCGCCUAAUACAGCAUGACGCCGCGGGAGGACAUCCUCCCGCGGCCAAAGGGGCGACCCGGUCACGGGUGGGCAUGCGGCGCAUUAGGUAGUUGGUGGGGCAACGGCCCACCAAGCCGACGAUGCGUAGGGGUUCUGAGAGGAAGGUCCCCCACAUUGGAACUGAGACACGGUCCAAACUCCUACGGAAGGCAGCAG
rnacentral:rRNA from 1 species